rnacentral:rRNA from 1 species
GGGGGCCCGCACAAGCGGUGGAGCAUGUGGUUUAAUUCGACGCAACGCGAAGAACCUUACCUGGGUUUGACAUCCCAAUCGUACAUUAUGGAAACAUAGUGGUCAGUUCGGCUGGAUUGGUGACAGGUGCUGCAUGGCUGUCGUCAGCUCGUGUCGUGAGAUGUUGGGUUAAGCCCCGCAACGAGCGCAACCCUUGUCCUUAGUUGCCAUCAUUUAGUUGGGCACUCUAGGGAGACUGCCGGUGUUAAGCCGGAGGAAGGUGGGGAUGACGUCAAGUCCUCAUGGCCCUUAUAUCCAGGGCUACACACGUGCUACAAUGGCCGGUACAAAGGGCAGCGAUACCGCGAGGUGGAGCUAAUCCCAAAAAGCCGGUCUCAGUUCGGAUUGGAGUCUGCAACUCGACUCCAUGAAGUUGGAAUCGCUAGUAAUCGCGUAUCAGCAUGAC